CAAAACUGAAAUAGCUAUAAAGUCAAACUGUCUGUAAGAGCCAUUUCAGAUGCUACAAUUCACACCGAUGCUCAGAUAUUCCUCUGCUGUAUGCUGUUAAUGCCUUCCUUGGACUUGCAACAAUCCUGUGUCUAAAGUCAGUGGGAUUGCCGAGGUUGAUCCAGGUGUGAGAGCUGCAGGAUUUGGCUGCUGGUCAUUGAUUGAAGCAAGCCCAUGCUUACUACUGAAUCAAAUAACAGCAUUCUCUUCCCAAAUGAUAUCCAGAGAGAAACUGAAAUCCCCAGCAGGUUCUGCAGCAGUGUCUGAGAGGAUUGUUCCUUACAUGCAGCUGUACAUGAGUUUUGGUCAUUAUACAAGUGAAAUCAUACACCCCUAUUCCAAAUGUAAGUAAUUUCAUGGCAUUUUGAAUGAACUGUUUCCCAUUUUGCUGAAGAGGAUUGCUUGAAAAUGAAAAUCAGCACUGUGUUUCUAGGAAAGGAGUGGAGGCAGGAUGCAAGCUGUCUUGCCCACAGACUCAAAUCACCCAAGCAAUUUCCAAAAGUUAAAGCCUGACCUUGGUGAUAGCCAAGAGGGAAGCACCCAGGAGUGAUUGCAAGGUGCGUCAGGAAAUGAGGCAAGCUAAAAGGCUGGCCACCUGAAGUCUGCCUGCCGUGCUUUGCAGGAUGGUUGCAGUGAUGUGUUUCCUCAGAUUUGCUACAGAAAAAAGAAUAUUCUCUAAAAAAACAGUGAAUGAACUGCUAACACUGCUGAAAACCGCUUGUAAGAGAUAUCCCAGAGUGUUAGCUCUACCAUAAGGAAAGGAGUG
rnacentral:lncRNA from 1 species